rnacentral:rRNA from 1 species
GAAUCUGAGGGAGCUUGCUCCCAAAGAUUAGCGGCGGACGGGUGAGUAACACGUGGGUAACCUGCCUGUAAGAUUGGGAUAACUCCGGGAAACCGGAGCUAAUACCGGAUAACAUUUCGAACCGCAUGGUUCGACAUUGAAAGAUGGCUUCGGCUAUCACUUACAGAUGGACCCGCGGCGCAUUAGCUAGUUGGUGAGGUAACGGCUCACCAAGGCGACGAUGCGUAGCCGACCUGAGAGGGUGAUCGGCCACACUGGGACUGAGACACGGCCCAGACUCCUACGGGAGGCAGCAGUAGGGAAUCUUCCGCAAUGGACGAAAGUCUGACGGAGCAACGCCGCGUGAACGAUGAAGGCCUUCGGGUCGUAAAGUUCUGUUGUUAGGGAAGAACAAGUACCAGAGUAACUGCUGGUACCUUGACGGUACCUAACCAGAAAGCCACGGCUAACUACGUGCCAGCAGCCGCGGUAAUACGUAGGUGGCAAGCGUUGUCCGGAAUUAUUGGGCGUAAAGCGCGCGCAGGUGGUUUCUUAAGUCUGAUGUGAAAGCCCACGGCUCAACCGUGGAGGGUCAUUGGAAACUGGGGAACUUGAGUGCAGAAGAGGAAAGUGGAAUUCCAAGUGUAGCGGUGAAAUGCGUAGAGAUUUGGAGGAACACCAGUGGCGAAGGCGACUUUCUGGUCUGUAACUGACACUGAGGCGCGAAA